AACGAACGCUGGCGGCAUGCCUAACACAUGCAAGUCGAACGAGACCUUCGGGUCUAGUGGCGCACGGGUGCGUAACGCGUGGGAACCUGCCCUUAGGUUCGGAAUAACUCCCCGAAAGGGGUGCUAAUACCGGAUAAUGUCUUCGGCCCAAAGAUUUAUCGCCUUUGGAUGGGCCCGCGUUGGAUUAGCUAGUUGGUAGGGUAAAAGCCUACCAAGGCGACGAUCCAUAGCUGGUCUGAGAGGAUGAUCAGCCACACUGGGACUGAGACACGGCCCAGACUCCUACGGGAGGCAGCAGUGGGGAAUAUUGGACAAUGGGCGAAAGGAUGAUCCAGCAAUGACGCGUGAGUGAUGAAGGCAUUAGGGUUGUAAAGCUCUUUUAACCGGGAUGAUAAUGACAGUACCGGGAGAAUAAGCUCCGGCUAACUCCGUG
rnacentral:rRNA from 1 species